GUCUAUGUGAAGUUAUAUAAAGUCUAACCUGCCCGUUGAAAUAAUUUGAAAGGCCGCAGUAUCCUAACUGUGCAAAGGUAGCAUAAUCAUUAGUUUUUUAAUUGAAGGCUUGUAUGAAGGGUUGGACAAAGAGAAAGCUGUCUCUUUAUUUUUUUUUGAAAUUAACUUUUAAGUGAAAAGGCUUAAAUUAAAUUAAGGGACGAUAAGACCCUAUAAAUCUUUAUUUUUAUUUUUUUUUAUCGAAAUUAAAUUUAGUUAAUAUCAAUUAAAAUUAAAUAAUAUUUUGUUGGGGCGACAAGAAUAUAAUUAGUAAAACUGUUCUAAUUAAAAAACAAAUAUUUUUGAUUUAAGUAAAAGAUCCUUUUUUAAGAUUAAAAGAUUAAGUUACUUUAGGGAUAACAGCGUUAUUUUUUUUGAGAGUUCUUAUCGAAAAAAAAGUUUGCGACCUCGAUGUUGAAUUAAAAUUUCCCUAUGGUGUAGAAGUUAUAGAGAGAAAGUCUGUUCGACUUUUAAAAUUUU
rnacentral:rRNA from 1 species